GAAGAACUUCCGGCGGGGCCGCGAGGCGACGCGUUGGUCCGCGAUGCAACGACCGGGAGCACAGUGCGUGUGGUAGCUUCGCUCAUGCUAGCUCGCGGCGUUGUCGCCCAGCAUCGAGAGCCCAUUCCAUUGUCGUCCGUGGUAGCCGCUUAGGAUUACGAUCAUUGGACGCCGACGCGGAACCCACAACAGGUAAGGCAUCCUGUUUCCUCCCCCGGGGCUCACUCAGCUGCAACCGACCGGGCUUUCUGGCACUCGUGAGGCAAUUCGGCGCACUUCCAGCGCGAGUUUUGCAAUCUUAUCCAGUUGUAUAGAACACCUUCUGCUGCCGCUAUCGACAACUCCAACAGCACGUACAUCGCGCUCAACUCGAAGCGCCGUUGGUGAAUAGAUAGCUCUAUUAACGCCACUAAGUGGUGUACGGCUGUAAUUCUUGAGAAGGUCUAUGUGGAGCUUGGAUGAUGUACGAAGCUUGCGGUAUAUUGUCGAAAAUAAAACUUAAAAAA